GAAAGAAAGUAGUUUGUCCAAGGUGCUAAUAGUUUCUAAGUGGUCAAUGAAAGCUCACUCGCAGGUCAGACUGACUCGAUGUUCUGAAGUGUCAGAAUUAGCACUGACUCAGGAUGGCUAUCCCAGCUUCCAUGCCUCCCGUCAUCUUCCUCCUAACUAUACGAAGGGUGGCCCGCUCAUCCAAACUCUGCCCCGCUUUAAGAUACCUAGUUCCCAUCCCCACUCUCCUGUUCACACAGCCUAACUGCGGCCUGAAGCAACGAGCCUGGGAGGCUGACGCACAGAGAGGUUUAGUAACUUCGCCUGCUCAGGUUCCACAACUAGGAAUCAGCAGACUGAGACUAGAACCCGAGUCUGCUGCUGAAGCCUGUGCUGCAGGCACUGGACUUUCCUGCAGCGUGUAGGGAGCAUCUUCUGUGAGCUGGGGAGCACACUGCGCUCUGGGAAGGGCCUGCCUUGGAGAAGCUCCUGAGGGCACUGGGGGUAGAGAAAGGCUUCCUGGAGGAUGUGGGGUGGAUUUCCAGGGGCAGUUAGUGAGAGCUUGCUAUUAAAACCUUUAUUUUUGCUCUGGCUUCCCCAAACAGAUUUCAUGUUCCCUGAGGCAGAGACCAGAUUUUGUUAUCUUGCAUCGAGCUCCCAGACACCUGACUGAAAAAAUGCUAUUUGACUUGGAGUGGGUGAGAAGAGCAGUUUAAUGUUUUAAUAUUUUAAAAAUGUUCUGAAUGUGUAUGUUUAAUUAUAAAGGGCUUGAUUUGUACCUGAAUCUUAAUAUUCACUAAAUAUAGUUAAAAUCUGAUUAUACACAUUAAUUAACAGGCAUGUAAUAAAAAUUCUCUGUGCUUAAGUCUCUGGUGAAUUUAGAAUGAGAGAAAAAGGAGCACCCUAAUAUUCAAAUGCAAUUAUAAAAAUUCUCCCCAAAAAAAUCACUUUGUCAGGAACUCUUCAUUAAUAAAGUGUUUUCCCAAAUCUUUUUUGUUGUUAGACAGAGUCGCGCUCUGUUGCCCAGGCUGGAGUGCAGUGGCGUGAUCUCAGCUCACUGUAACCUCUGCCUCCUGGCUUCAAGUGAUUCUCCUGCCUCAGCCUCCAAGUAGCUGGUAUUACAGGCAUGCACCACCACGCCCGGCUAAUUUUUGUAUUUUUAGUAGAGACGAGGUUUCCCCAUAUUGGUCAGGCUGGUCUCGAACUCCUGACCUCAAGUGAUCUACUUGCCUCAGCCUCCCAAAGUGCUGGGAUUACAGGCGUGAGCCACUGCGCCCGGCCACCCAAAUCUUUUUAACCUACUUAUUUCAAGCAAAGAGUCAAAUACUUUAAUUUCACAGGUAUACUGUCUGAUUAUACUCAUAAAUCCAAAAGGAAUUUUUCAUUUGGCUAAACUAAAAUCGGGAAAUGCAAGAUGACCGAUUUCUAGGGCACUCUUUUCUGUAGCGGCAGCGCAAGCCAGCCCUCAUCUGAAACUCCAGCUCUGCAAUUGUUACUUGUGUGACCUGGAUAAGUUACUUUCUUUAAGCAGUUUCUUUUUCUGUAAAAUAAAAUACCUCACAGGAUUUUAAGAGAAUUAAAUCCUUAGCUUAGGCACACAGCAAAUAUUCAGCGUAUUAAUAUGUUAGCUAUUAUUAUUGCAACAGUACAAUGUGAAUACUGUAAGGUUUGGUCAGAGGCAAAGUCAGGGAAAUGUAUAAGUGGAUACUAAUGGAGUCUUUACCACCAACAAAAUCAGGGCACUUCAACGAAAAAAAAAUAAAUAAAAGAUUUUAGAUUUCUAAAUCUAGAUUAAAGCUUUUAGAAAAGAUGAAUUCUGGACAUGACUGAAAUCUAGUAAAUGAAAAGGAGUUUAAAUUAGAAACAGUAAAGAGAAAGGAUUCCUCCACCUUUCAGACCCUGGACUUUAAAAUGCAUUUGAUCCAAUUAUUUUCAGAAUGGAAAAAGGCCACCUAAUUAUAGUUCAGAUGAAUAAAAAUCUACUGGGGAGAAGAGCCUUGAAGUAUACAUGGAAGAUAAAUUUAGAGCUCACAAAACAGAACCCCUUCAUGUUUCUCAUACUGUAAUAUCAGGUCAGUUUCUACUAUUUAUACUGCACUGCUG
rnacentral:lncRNA from 10 species